rnacentral:rRNA from 1 species
ACUCAAAUGAAUUGACGGGGGCCCGCACAAGCGGCGGAGCAUGCGGCUUAAUUCGAUGCGACGCGAAGAACCUUACCUGGGUUUGACAUGCAGGGUGAAACCGGCGAAAGCCGGCGCUCUUCGGAGCCUGCACAGGUGGUGCAUGGCUGUCGUCAGCUCGUGCCGUGAGGUGUUGCCUUAAGUGGCGCAACGAGCGCAACCCCUGUUCCUAGUUGCCAGCGGGUAAUGCCGGGAACUCUAGGGAGACUGCCGGUGCCAAACCGGAGGAAGGUGGGGAUGACGUCAAGUCAUCAUGCCCCUUAAGCCCAGGGCUGCACGCAUGCUACAAUGCGCGGUACAGAGGGCGGCGAUCCCGUAAGGGGGAGCGAAUCCCAAAAAGCCGCGCUCAGUUCGGAUCGAGGUCUGCAACCCGACCUCGUGAAGCCGGAGUCGCUAGUAAUCGCAGAUCAGCAAUGCUGCGGUGAAUACGUUCCCGGGCCUUGCACACACCGCCCGU